UGUUUUUGUUUUUGUUUUUUUUUUUAAUUUUUUUUUUAACGUUUAUUUAUUUUUCAGACAGAGGGAGACAGAGCAUGAAUGGGGGAGGGUCAGAGAGAGAGGGAGACACAGAAUCUGAAACAGGCUCCAGGCUCUGAGCCGUCAGCACAGAGCCCGACGCGGGGCUCGAACUCAUGGACCACGAGAUCGUGACUUGAGCCGAAGUCGGCCGCUUAACCGACUGAGCCACCCAGGCACCCCACCCCUUUAGUUUUUUUAAUGCUCAGAUGGUCUCAAUGGGAGCUUCAUCAAGUUGUGUGAAAUAUUGUCUACCAGGGAAGUUCAUUAGAGACUCAUUGCCUAGGACUUAAUAAUAUUGAGUGUAGGUUACAUAAGCUGCUCUGCUUAUGGACAAAAUUCUAGACUUCCAGCAGGAAAGCAGGUAUUCAGCAUAAACCAUAUUGUUUGGUUUAGGUACAGUGAGUCACUCUUACCAGUUCUGGGAAUUGUAGGAACCACCCAAAAUCCAAUUUCACUCGUGUCCUCCAAGGGCCAACCUUGCAAGUAGGCUUUUCUAAAGAAAGCAGGUUUUUUGGUUUGUUUUUUUUUUUUAUGUUGAUUCUGUUCUGCACACUUAUAAUAUAUUUAUUAUAACUUAAAACUAUAUUGUUUUUUACUACUAACAGUAAGACUCAGAAUGAAAUUUAAGAUUUUUCUGAGGUUCUAUUUGGCCUUAGAAUAUGUCCCAGUAGGGAUGUAUGGUCAGAGUACUGUGUUUAGUAAUUCUUUUUUUCAUAUAGUUAUACUCCCAUCCUCAUCUGAAUUUAGCUUAAUUUGUUUCAGCUUGUUUUGAACUUUUAUAUGUUUUUCCUUUUUGAUUUAAUUAACAGAUAUAAAAUGUGUAUGUACACCAUUUUCCCACAUCAAAAUGAUACAAGAUAAAAUUGUCUUCAGAAACAGAAGUCUCCUUUAAUAUCAAUAUCCUCUACCCUAUUCCCUUCCUCCCUCCAUAGGUAACCAUUUUUAUUAUUUUUUUAAAUUAAAAAAAAAAGUUUAUUGGGGUGCCUGGGUGGCUCAGUCAGUCAAGCAUCCGAAUCUUGAUUUCGGCUCAGGUCAUGAUCUCACCGUUUUUGAGUUCGAGCCUUACAUCGGGCUGUAUGCCAAUAGCAUGGGGUCUUGGGAUUCUCUCUCUUCCUCCCCCCCCCAUAAAUAAAUAAGCAUUUUUAAUAAAUAAAUAUUUAUUUAUUUUGAGAGAGUGAGCACGUGUGCAUGUGUGCACACAAGUUGGAGAGGGGCAGAGAGAGAGGGGGAGAGUGAGAAUCCCAAGCAGGCUCUGUGUUCAGUGAGGAGCCUGAUGUAGGGCUUGAUCUGACUGCAAGAUCAUCACCUGAGCCAAUAUUAAGAGUUGGACACUUAACCAACUGAGCCACCCGGGCACCCCCAUUUUUAUUAUUUUGAUUUAUUCUUUUGUUUCUUUUUGGAAACAUAAGCAAAUGUGUAUAUGUGUGUGUGUGAUGUGUAUGUACAUAUGUACAUAUAUAAAUAUUCUCCUCUUUGACACGUAAAAGAUAGCAUACUAUUAAAUACAGCUUCACAUGUUUCUUUUUUCGCUAAACAACAUACAAGAUAUUCUGGAGAUCAAUUUUUCUUGGAGAUGACUCUGUCCCAGAGAUCCUGCUCACGUAGCUGGGAGAGUCAUAGCCAUUUACUGAUGCAGUGGGGAGCUCUGGCAAAGGAGCCACUUGGGGUGUAGCUGGGGAAAGAGCGUGCUGAGUUCACUUUUAAACAGGUGCCUUUAAGAUAUCCACGUGGUUCGGGGGCACCUAGGUGGCUCAGUUGGUUGAGCUCCUGACUUUGGAUGGGGUCACAAUCUCGCGGUUUGUGGGUUCGAGCCCCACAUCAGGCUCGCUGCUAUCAGUGUAGAGCCCGCUUCGGAUUUUCUGUCCCCCUCUCUCUCUUCCUCUGUCUCUCUCUCUCUC